GCACGUAGUUAGCCGGUGCUUAUUCUGAGGGUACCGUCAUUGCCCACGCAUGGACAUUUUCUUCCCCUACUAAAGCAGUUUACAACGCAGAGCGCCUUCCUCCUGCACGCGGCAUGGCUGGUCAGUCUUCCGACCAUUGCCCAAUAUUCCCUA
rnacentral:rRNA from 1 species